rnacentral:rRNA from 1 species
UAGAGUUUGAUCCUGGCUCAGAUUGAACGCUGGCGGCAUGCCUUACACAUGCAAGUCGAACGGUAACGCGGGGCAACCUGGCGACGAGUGGCGAACGGGUGAGUAACGCAUCGGAACGUGCCCAGUAGUGGGGGAUAGCCCGGCGAAAGCCGGAUUAAUACCGCAUACGACCUACGGGUGAAAGGGGGGGAUCGCAAGACCUCUCGCUAUUGGAGCGGCCGAUGUCAGAUUAGGUAGUUGGUGGGGUAAAGGCCUACCAAGCCGACGAUCUGUAGCUGGUCUGAGAGGACGACCAGCCACACUGGGACUGAGACACGGCCCAGACUCCUACGGGAGGCAGCAGUGGGGAAUUUUGGACAAUGGACGCAAGUCUGAUCCAGCCAUGCCGCGUGCGGGAAGAAGGCCUUCGGGUUGUAAACCGCUUUUGUCAGGGAAGAAAUCUUCUGGGUUAAUACCUCGGGAGGAUGACGGUACCUGAAGAAUAAGCACCGGCUAACUACGUGCCAGCAGCCGCGGUAAUACGUAGGGUGCAAGCGUUAAUCGGAAUUACUGGGCGUAAAGCGUGCGCAGGCGGUUUUGUAAGACAGAGGUGAAAUCCCCGGGCUCAACCUGGGAACUGCCUUUGUGACUGCAAGGCUUGAGUGCGGCAGAGGGGGAUGGAAUUCCGCGUGUAGCAGUGAAAUGCGUAGAUAUGCGGAGGAACACCGAUGGCGAAGGCAAUCCCCUGGGCCUGCACUGACGCUCAUGCACGAAAGCGUGGGGAGCAAAAAGGGUUAGAUACCCUGGUAGUCCACGCCCUA